UUACUCGGGACGGGGCUUGGCUAGAGCCAUGCGCAUGCGCGUCCCGCUCCGGCGCCGUCCUUGGAGGCCCGCCGGCCGACGCGGUGCCAGCCCCGAGCCACGUAGGUGCGGGCGGCGCCGGAAUGAGGAGCAGUGUGGCUGAUGCUCCGGCGGGUCUGCAACCAGACCUCCGAUUCUCAGACAAAGGUUGUGGGACACUGGGUGGGAGGCGGACUCCCUGAGUCCGAACUAGGAUUGCGGCCGGCUAAGGCUGGCUGGAUACACCGAAAUCUGGAAGCGAAGGCAGGAACCAGCGUGCAUAUCAUCCACAUUUACACAGGCGGAAAAUAGGCCUAGCAGACUUCAAGUACCUACUUCACGGGGUUCUCAAAUUUUAUUGCAUAUUAUUGACCAGGUAGAGCUUUUAGAAAGCCCGAUGCCCAGACGGCGCCACACACCAAUUACAGGGGAAUCUCUGGGGAUGAGAUUCGGGCGUCAAUAGUAUUUAACCCUCCCCCCACCCACGUGAUUCAAGUGUGCAAUCAUGUUCGAAAACCUGUGACAGUACCUGGGGGGUUUGUUAAAACACAGGGUGCCCGACCUCAUCCCUGUGUUUCUGAUUCAGUAGGUCUGGUGUGUGUGUGUGGGGGGGGGGGGGGGUGGCGGUCCAAGAACUUGCAUUUCAUGUCUGUCAAGUUCACAGGUGACGUUGAUACUGCUGGCUGGGAACCACGCCUUUAGCCUUUGUAUUCAGAGGUGGUCCACAGACCGGCAGCGUCAGCGUCUCUGUGAGUUCAUUAGAAGCGCAGUCUCAGGCCCCAGCCCAGACCUACCGAAUCCGAAUUCCCCACUUUAACAGGAACCCCGGGUGAUAUUUGUGCGCAAUAAAGUUUGAGAAAAGCUGAUGUAGAGGAUUACUGGGAAUCUGGGUGUCUUGAAGCUGCCUAAAUGUUGAGCAUUGAAUAUUCAAAACUUGGUCUGCCUGACUAUGCCACCCGUGGGAAAAAUCAACAAGAAGCAAUGUAUGUGGUAGAAAGUAAAGGACAGCAAAGGCUAUUGCAAAUGGAGUGGUAGGAAUCAAGCAUAAACAAACCAGAAUGAUGGUAGAGACAAUUAGUGGAGGAUUUUAGAAACUGAAAAACGUGUUAUCAGUAUUGAAGUCAUAAUAUCAACGAAUAGUGUUGGAUACUUGGAGGACCUUGAUGACCUUCAAUUCAUCUACGUUGUCUGAAUGCUGGAGAUUAAAUCAAGUUUUGUGAUUGUUCGAGAAAAUUUAAAGUGUAAGUUUUUAUAUCCUUGCCCUACCAUCUUUCUAGGAAGAAAUUACUUACCUUUCUUUCCUCUCUUUUUCUUUCUUCCUUUUCUUUCCCUUCUCCAUCUCCUCUUCCUCUCUCUUUUUCUCCUUAUCUUCCUCCUCUUAUUUUUUAUGAAGCUACUUGGCCUUCUUUGCUGCUGGGUAGGAAGAAAAACUGGAGAAACUGAAAAUCAGGUG
rnacentral:lncRNA from 1 species